AAUCCGCAAAGGGAUUUAAGAUUCCGUAAUGAGCUGUGGAUCUGUCGGGAAUAUUCGGUAAAGUAAUUCAAGAAGGAAAUCAUUUUACUGAAGUCAGCAGAUGCUUGAUGCCGCAUGUUGUCUCAGCUCUUCCCAUAGAACCAAGUGGAGGUAAGAUCUGCAACAGUCCUCCCCAGGCAGGAAUAAAAAAAAGCCCCUCAGCUGCGACUGAAGAAAUAUUGGAAAAACAAACAGGCACCAUGCAGCCUCGGGACAGCAGACUGGCACCAGCCCAAUCACCUGCAUCUACGAGAACAGAUGAGCUUCUUUGCGAAGGCAGUAAAACAGGGACAGAUCUCUGACACUUCCCCUUUCUGUAUGUGAGACUUAUGUCUGUAUACUGCAGGCCCAAAUGAUAGAGCCUCUCUGAGAAUCCGAAUUGUACUGGAGUAAGUCCGUUUAGUUCAUUUACUGUAGCUUCAGCUUGAAAAAAGAGUUGCUUUUUAAAUAUGCAAACCAGUGUCUUGGCAUAACAGAGUGACAGAACAGAACUUUGUUUGAAUGCGUCUUCUGACAAGUAGAUUAUACAGAGGCAAAACAAAUGUUUUUUUCUCAGUGGACACCUGUAUCCAGGGCAACUUGUAAUGUAUACACUUCACUUUUAAGUGAUAAGCACAAAAUCAAGAGUAACUAACAUUUUCCUAUCAUUUUUUUCCACUUGGCUUUUUUUCAGGCAAAGAAUACAAAUGCCUUCUAUUCCAAAUCAAGACACGCCUUUACUAUUGGUAGUUCCAAAUAGUCUUUUUUGUUGCCUGGAGCACAUUCUACAAACACCCUGUCGAGCACUUUUCAAGCUCGUCUGACCCCCCCUCCCCUUCCCAGAAGAUGCCCAAUCUCCAUCUUUCUUUGCAUAUUGCAUAUUUCUGAUGAAGUAUAAUUUUUGAAUUGCUCAGUAUGUCUUUUUGUUUGUUUUGUUAGCUUGGUUGCUUAAGUAAUAAGUUAUUCAAAUAUAUUGUUGUAAUAAGCAGUAGAAUUAAAUUAUCAUAAACUGUUGUUGUGAAAAUGAAACAUCCAAAAGAAAUAUCUGAUGAAAUAACUUCAAUCUCUGUGCCUCAGGCUGGGAGAGAGACUUAUCGAAUCAUUGGAACACUCAAUAUAUAUUGAAUAUGUUCUAAACAACAAACUGAGGUGUCAGUUGCACAAAGGGUCUUAGUAUUAAUUUACUACUUAUAUGUUAAUAUUGACAGCGUGCUUU